rnacentral:rRNA from 1 species
UACGUAGGUGGCAAGCGUUGUUCGGAAUUACUGGGCGUAAAGCGCGCGUAGGCGGCUCUUCAAGUCAGGCGUGAAAGCCCCGGGCUUAACUCGGGUACUGCGCUUGAUACUGUCGAGCUAGAGUGUGGAAGGGGCGAUUGGAAUUCCGUGUGUAGCGGUGAAAUGCGUAGAUAUACGGAGGAACACCAGAGGCGAAGGCGGAUCGCUGGGCCAACACUGACGCUGAUGUGCGAAAGCUAGGGGAGCAAACGGG